CCUGCCCCUAGAGGCAUUACAGGUGUGGCUGCUAUGUCACAUGUACGUCAGUAGUGCCAGAGAGGAGAGAGCCUAUGUCUAAGCUCAGUGUUGUGACCUAUGAAAAUAUGAAUGAUUAGUAGACUAAUACU